GGAUCCAGACUUUGAUCCUGGCUCAGGAUGAACGCUAGCUACAGGCUUAACACAUGCAAGUCGAGGGGCAGCAUGUCGGUUGCUUGCAACCGAUGAUGGCGACCGGCGCACGGGUGAGUAACGCGUAUCCAACCUACCCUUGUCCAUCGGAUAACCCGUCGAAAGGCGGCCUAACACGAUAUGCGGUUCACAGCAGGCAUCUAACGUGAACGAAAUGUGAAGGAGAAGGAUGGGGAUGCGUCUGAUUAGCUUGUUGGCGGGGUAACGGCCCACCAAGGCGACGAUCAGUAGGGGUUCUGAGAGGAAGGUCCCCCACAUUGGAACUGAGACACGGUCCAAACUCCUACGGGAGGCAGCAGUGGGGAAUAUUGGUCAAUGGACGAGAGUCUGAACCAGCCAAGUAGCGUGCAGGAAGACGGCCCUAUGGGUUGUAAACUGCUUUUAUAGGGGGAUAAAGUGUGCCACGUGUGGCAUAUUGCAGGUACCCUAUGAAUAAGGACCGGCUAAUUCCGUGCCAGCAGCCGCGGUAAUACGGAAGGUCCGGGCGUUAUCCGGAUUUAUUGGGUUUAAAGGGAGCGUAGGCCGUCUUAUAAGCGUGUUGUGAAAUGUCGGGGCUCAACCUGGGCAUUGCAGCGCGAACUGUGAGACUUGAGUGCGCAGGAAGUAGGCGGAAUUCGUCGUGUAGCGGUGAAAUGCUUAGAUAUGACGAAGAACUCCGAUUGCGAAGGCAGCCUGCUGUAGCGCAACUGACGCUGAAGCUCGAAAGCGUGGGUAUCGAACAGGAUUAGAUACCCUGGUAGUCCACGCGGUAAACGAUGGAUGCUCGCUGUUUGCGUCUGACGCAAGCGGCCAAGCGAAAGCGUUAAGCAUCCCACCUGGGGAGUACGCCGGCAACGGUGCAACUCAAAUGAAUUGACGG
rnacentral:rRNA from 1 species